rnacentral:lncRNA from 1 species
GAAGAAAAGCUGUCCAUCUUCUGAGAAGGAAGCAGCAUGUGCCAUCCUUCUGUCAGAAAACACCAAAGAGAUGAAGAAAUGAGAAAUCCAGAAACCAAAGACCUUGCUCUUUUGUCAAACAGACUUGGUAGAGCAGAGUUGCAAAAUCAGACCUUUGGGGGCUUGCGUGUUUCUCCUCUUACUCCCUGGUAAGCCCUGCCUUGAACUUCAGGCUGCCUGGCUUGGAUCCUGAUGCUGCUUUGCUGACACAAUCCAUUCUCCCAGGGAACACCCAGAGUUCCACUCCAGCCCUGGCAACGCUGCAGCAGAGUAGGCCAACUGUACGGAAAGUCUACAUUGGCUCGGAACAAUUGAGGCUGGGAGAGGACCUCAGGACGAGGACAUGCAGAAAAAGUGCUGAGUGUUCUUUAAAGCAGUAGCAAACCAUGGGUUUGGGUAUCACAGCAAUUUCCCCACAUCCAUUCCAGCUGGUGAUUUCCUGCUUGGUCGUCUUUUAAAACCCAGCCAUCUGAAUCCGAGAGUUGCUUCUUCAGCAAGGCCUCCCCUGACUCCUUCAGAUGUCUAAGCACCACCCCUACUCUUCUGCUGCAGCAUCUCCACUUGCUUUUGUCCUUCAUCUCCCUGAAAUUAUUUGCUUACUCAUCCAUCCAUGUCAGUUGCAAAAGCAUGACUUCCUCUAGUCCAAAGGCCAUUCAUGUUCAAUAUGUUAGCACUCGGAGCGUCUCCAGUGGUUGUUUCAAACAAGGCAAAUGAGUUCAGUUGAACUUUAUAUGUUCUGCCCUCCGACUGUGACUGUUAUUUACUUCCCUCCAAACAAAAUGUAAUAAUAAAAUGACUAACUGAA